rnacentral:tRNA from 1 species
AGAAAGGCGGCGCGGCGCCCGACGCCGUCGGCUCUGAUCCGAAGAACGUCCAGGUCGUCAUCGAUCGCGGCGAUGCCUUUUAC